rnacentral:lncRNA from 1 species
ACAACUACAACAUUUUUCCUCUGCUCCCCUCUUGUGACCGAGCACCGGCGACCGGAGAGCUCCGACCGGCCACUGGUUAUCUCCGGCGAACCACCACGACUCCCCUCUCACACCACUCUCAUACGCACACCAUCCUGUAACUCAGAGAAAGAGAGGCGCUGUACACGGCGGCGACGCGACGUCAAGAUCAGAAGAGACGGAGUGAGAGAGAGAAGAGAGAGGGAGAGAGACGUCAGAGGGGGAAGGAGAAUGAUGACAUCGACGGCAGACGGGCAGCUGCGGCGGCGGUGGUGGAUCUCGACGGCAGCUGGUCGUGAUGACACGACUGCGCCGCUACUCACGGUGGAGGUGGCGAUGGAUUUCGACACCCCCCCUAAAUCGAGUUCCCUGAAUGUGAUUCCGGCUUCUGAUCAUUCCGAUUUGGUAACGAUGGUGGCUGUACUGGUUGACGACAGCCGCACUUCGUGACUUCUCAGGUGGGGUGUGGUUGUUCCGGUUUGAAUUUUAGCUUCGGUUCAAGUCAGAUUUGAUUUGGUUUAACUCGGGUUGACUAGGUCAAACCGAGUCAACUCAUUGUUCGGGUUAGCGACAGUGGAGCCGGAAAACGGCAGUGAUGUCGGCUGGAUUGGUGGUGGAUAUCCUCGGAUUGGGUUUCGAUUCACAUUCGGUGUAAGUUUGGUUCAACUCGGUUAACAAAGUCAAACCAGUCAACACGUCAGGAAUGCUUUAGUUGCACGCUAGCGAGUUCACAUUCGUGGGAUGACACUACGGAAUCACACUAAGCUAGCUUUGCACAGGAAUAUCCAGGUUGCAUUUUUUAAGACUAUGGAACGGUUGGAAUAG